rnacentral:tmRNA from 1 species
GGGGCUGAUUCUGGAUUCGACGGGAUUUGCGAAACCCAAGGUGCAUGCCGAGGGGCGGUUGGCCUCGUAAAAAGCCGCAAAAAAAUAGUCGCAAACGACGAAAACUACGCUUUAGCAGCUUAAUAACCUGCUUAGAGCCCUCUCUCCCUAGCCUCCGCUCUUAGGACGGGGAUCAAGAGAGGUCAAACCCAAAAGAGAUCGCGCGGAUGCCCUGCCUGGGGUUGAAGCGUUAAAACGAAUCAGGCUAGUCUGGUAGUGGCGUGUCCGUCCGCAGGUGCCAGGCGAAUGUAAAGACUGACUAAGCAUGUAGUACCAAGGAUGUAGGAAUUUCGGACGCGGGUUCAACUCCCGCCAGCUCCACCA